AGGGAAUCUUCCGCAAUGGACGAAAGUCUGACGGAGCAACGCCGCGUGAGUGAUGAAGGUUUUCGGAUCGUAAAGCUCUGUUGCCAGGGAAGAACGUCUUCUGGAGUAACUGCCAGGAGAGUGACGGUACCUGAGAAGAAAGCCCCGGCUAACUACGUGCCAGCAGCCGCGGUAAUACGUAGGGGGCAAGCGUUGUCCGGAAUUAUUGGGCGUAAAGCGCGCGCAGGCGGCGGUUUAAGUCUGGUGGUUAAUCCCGGGGCUCAACCCCGGGUCGCACUGGAAACUGGACGGCUUGAGUGCAGAAGAGGAGAGUGGAAUUCCACGUGUAGCGGUGAAAUGCGUAGAGAUGUGGAGGAACACCAGUGGCGAAGGCGACUCUCUGGGCUGUAACUGACGCUGAGGCGCGAAAGCGUGGGGAGCAAAC
rnacentral:rRNA from 1 species